GUUUUCCUGACUUACAACACAAUUCAUUUCCCUCUAUGCUGUACUGCUCUCAUGUCUCUCUUCCGCUGCCUUUGGCAAGAGUGGAAAAAUCUAGUUACAAGGAAGAGCUUGCUUUGUCUAGAGAAGAAUAGCCAUGGGAUUAGGCUCUUCUUAGAACAGAUUUGUAGGAAGAGUCAUGAGGCAAAUGCCUUUGGGGAGAAUGUAAGGAACAAUCUACCACAUGGACGGUGCUGUGGAGAGUUGGACCUGGAAAGACACAGGGAGAUGCGGAGACCUGACUGUUUUCUUUUCCUCCUUUGGAAAUGGUAUGUGGCUGUUGAGUUUUAAAUGGUCGCAGAGUCUUCCUUGGUGGUAUCAAAGAAUAAGAAAGAGGAAAUGGGAAUCUUCUGAGUUCUGUGUUUGACUAGCUGAAGACAGGGCUCCAGGCAAACUGCCAGUUGCUUCUCUUGAAGCUUCUUAUAUCCUUUACUUUGAUUGAAAUAAAAAAAAAGAGACUAUGACAUCAAGCAGGAAUGAGAGAAAGUAUGUUUUCCUGAACAUGACCCUGAGGGAACCAGUAAAGAGGAAGAAGAAUUAAAGAAAAAACCAAUGUUAAAAAAAAAGAAGGACAAAGAAACGUUUAAAAAAAGAAUGAGAAUGGAAGAAUUGGGUGGAGUAGAGACGUUCAUAAUGCUUCUGUGAGCGGUCAUUCUUUCAAGAGAAUUGAAUCAGGAGUCACAAGAUUAAGACCGCAGUGGGAUGUUCUGCCUUCAGGAGUGUCCCUGGCACAGCAGAUCUGCAAAUUAUGGCUUUUGUGGUUUUCUUCUUGUUUCUUGCUAAGAAAUAAAUGGAGCCACAAGCACAUCAGUG
rnacentral:lncRNA from 1 species